GCAAACUUGGUCAUUUAGAGGAAGUAAAAGUCGUAACAAGGUCUCCGUUGGUGAACCAGCGGAGGGAUCAUUACCGAGUCUCCAGACUCCCAAACCACCGCAAAUCUACCUCUAUAUACUAUCGCUCCGGCGCGGUCGCCCCCGGGUGGGGGUGUGCGCCGUCAGGCAACCAGCCGGAGCGUACCAGAACACUCUCGUCUCUGCGAAAGGCAUUCUGAGUAAAAACACCAAAAAAAGCUUUACAACUUUCAACAAUGGAUCUCUUGGCUCCGGCAUCGAUGAAGAACGCAGC
rnacentral:misc_RNA from 1 species